rnacentral:rRNA from 1 species
GUGCCAGCCGCCGCGGUAAUACGGAGGAUGCGAGCGUUAUCCGGAUUUAUUGGGUUUAAAGGGUGCGUAGGCGGCCGAGUAAGUCAGCGGUGAAAUUUUGCAGCUUAACUGUAACAGUGCCGUUGAUACUGCAUGGCUAGGAUUUGGUUGCUGUGGGUGGAAUGUGUGGUGUAGCGGUGAAAUGCUUAGAUAUCACACAGAAUAUCAAUUGCGAAGGCAGCUCACAAAGCCAAGAUUGACGCUGAGGCACGAAAGUGUGGGGAUCAAACAGGAUUAGAUACCCUGGUAGUCCACACUGUAAACGAUGAUAACUCACUGCCGGCGAUACACAGUCGGUGGCCAAGCGAAAGCGAUAAGUUAUCCACCUGGGGAGUACGACCGCAAGGUUGAAACUCAAAUGAAUUGACGG